AGGGUGGACGAAGGGAGAGACAUUA
rnacentral:rRNA from 1 species